ACCGAGAUUCCCCCAGUAGCGGCGAGCGAACGGGGAGGAGCCCAGAGCCUGAAUCAGCAUGUGUGUUAGUGGAAGCGUCUGGAAAGGCGCGCGAUACAGGGUGACAGCCCCGUACACAAAAGCGCAUGUGCUGUGAGCUCGAUGAGUAGGGCGGGACACGUGGUAUCCUGUCUGAAUAUGGGGGGACCAUCCUCCAAGGCUAAAUACUCCUGACUGACCGAUAGUGAACCAGUACCGUGAGGGAAAGGCGAAAAG
rnacentral:rRNA from 4 species